rnacentral:rRNA from 1 species
GACGAACGCUGGCGGCGUGCUUAACACAUGCAAGUCGAACGGAAAGGCCCUGCUUUUGUGGGGUUCUCGAGUGGCGAACGUGUGAGUAACACGUGAGUAACCUGCCCUUGACUUUGUGAUAACUUCAGGAAACUGGGGCUAAUACCUGAUAGGAGCGCCUGCUGCAUGGUGGGGGUUGGAAAGUUUAGGCGGUUGGGGAUGGACUCGCGGCUUAUGAGCUUGUUGGUUGGGUAGUUGCUUACCAAGGCUUUGACGGGUAGCCGGCCUGAGAGGUUGACCGGCCACAUUGGGACUGAGAUACGGCCCAGACUCCUACGGGAGGCAGCAGUGGGGAAUAUUGCACAAUGGGCGGAAGCCUGAUGAAGAAACGCUGCGUGCGGGAUGACGGCCUUCGGGUUGUAAACCGCUUUCGCCUGUGACGAAGCGUGAGUGACGGUAAUGGGUAAAGAAGCACCGGCUAACUACGUG